AUUGAACGCUGGCGGCAUGCCUUACACAUGCAAGUCGAACGGCAGCACGGGAGCAAUCCUGGUGGCGAGUGGCGCACGGGUGAGGAAUAUAUCGGAACUUGCCCAGUCGUGGGGGAUAACGUAGCGAAAGCUACGCUAAUAUCGCAUACGAGCUAUGGAUGAAAGCGGGGGAUCGCAAGACCUCGUGCGAUUGAAGCGGCCGGUAUCAGAUUAGCUAGUGGGUGAGGUAAAGGCUAACCAAGGCGACGAUCUGUAGCUGGUCUGAGAGGACGACCAGCCACACUGGAACUGAGACACGGUCCAGACUCCUACGGGAGGCAGCAGUGGGGAAUUUUGGACAAUGGGCGCAAGCCUGAUCCAGCAAUGCCGCGUGCAGGAUGAAGGCCUUCGGGUUGUAAACUGCUUUUGUACGGAACGAAACGGUGAGCUCUAAUGCAGUUUGCUAAUGACGGUACCGUAAGAAUAAGCACCGGCUAACUACGUGCCAGCAGCCGCCGUAACAC
rnacentral:rRNA from 1 species